UACGUAGGGGGCAAGCGUUGUUCGGAAUUACUGGGCGUAAAGGGAGCGUAGGCGGAUUCAUAAGUUAGGAGUGAAAUCCAUAGGCUUAACCUGUGGGUUGCUUUUAAUACUGCGAAUCUUGAGUAUUGGAGAGGAUGAUGGAAUUCCAGGUGUAGCGGUGGAAUGCGUAGAUAUCUGGAAGAACACCAGUUGCGUAGGCGGUCAUCUGGCCAAAUACUGACGCUGAGGCUCGAAAGCUAGGGGAGCAAACAGG
rnacentral:rRNA from 1 species